CGCACAUUGCGCCCGCCAGUAUUCUGGCGGGCAUGCCUGUUCGAGCGUCAUUUCAACCACUCAGGCCCUGGUGCCUGGCGUCGGGGUUUCUUAUAGAUCCCCUAGAAUCAGUGGCGGACCCGCCGCGGCUCCGAGCGUAGUAGUAAAAUAUCUCGCUAUGGAGGUUCGUGGGGGGCUUACCGGCCGUAAAAGCUUUCUCUCACGAGAAAAUUCUCAAGGUUGACCUCGGAUCAGGUAGGAAUACCCGCUGAACUUAA
rnacentral:misc_RNA from 1 species